GUCGAGCGGACCGACGGGAGCUUGCUCCCUUAGGUCAGCGGCGGCCGUGUGAGUAACACGUGGGUAACCUGCCUGUAAGACUGGGACCUCUAAAGGAAACCGGGGCUAAUACCGGAUGCUUGAUUGAACCGCAUGGUUCAAUCAUGAAAGGCGGCUUCGGCUGCCGUUUACCCAAGGACCCGCGGCGCAUUAGCUAGUUGGUGAGGUAACGGCUCACCAAGGCGACGAUGCGUAGCCGACCUGAGAGGGUGAUCGGCCACACUGGGACUGAGACACGGCCCAGACUCCUACGGGAGGCAGCAGUAGGGAAUCUUCCGCAAUGGACGAGAGUCUGACGGAGCAACGCCGCGUGAGUGAUGAAGGUUUUCGGAUCGUAAAGCUCUGUUGUUAGGGAAGAACAAGUACCGUUCGAAUAGGGCGGUACCUUG
rnacentral:rRNA from 2 species